rnacentral:snoRNA from 1 species
CAUUCUUCCUCAAAUGAUGAGAGAAAUUCUACACCCAAAAACAUAAUAUAGGAAGAGCCGGAAAAGGUAUGGCCGCCCAAACGGCGGCCGUCGCUGCUUAGAAACGGGCCUCUGACAAGGAAGAUCGA